UACGAAGGGGACUAGCGUUGUUCGGAAUCACUGGGCGUAAAGCGCACGUAGGCGGCUUCGUAAGUCAGGGGUGAAAUCCCGGGGCUCAACCUCGGAACUGCCUUUGAUACUGCGGGUCUUGAGUCCGAUAGAGGUGGGUGGAAUUCCUAGUGUAGAGGUGAAAUUCGUAGAUAUUAGGAAGAACACCGGUGGCGAGGGCGGCCCACUGGAUCGGUACUGACGCUGAGGUGCGAAAGCGUGGGGAGCAAACAGG
rnacentral:rRNA from 1 species